rnacentral:rRNA from 1 species
GACGAACGCUGGCGGCGUGCUUAACACAUGCAAGUCGAACGGAAAGGCCCUGCUUGCGUGGUGUGCGCGAGUCGCAAACGGGAGUGUAACGCGGGAGUAACCUGCCCUACACUUUGGUAUAACUUCAGGAAACUGGGGCUAAUACCGGAUAGGAGCUCCUUAUGCAGGGGGGGGGAAGGAAAGUUUCGGCGGGUGGGAGUGGACUGCCGGCUUAUCUGCUUGUUGGGGGGGUACUGGCUUACCAAGGCUUUGGCGGGUAGCCGGCCUGAGAGGGUGACCGGCAACAUUGGACCUGAGAUACGGCCCAGACUCCUACGGGAGGCAGCAGUGGGGAAUAUUGCACAAUGGGCGGAAGCCUGAUGAAGCAACGCCGCGUGCGGAAGGAGGGCCUUCGGGUUGAAAACCGCUUUCGCCUGUGACGAAGCGUGAGUGACGGUAAUGGGUAAAGAAGCACCGGCUAACUACGUG